rnacentral:rRNA from 1 species
AGAGUUUGAUCCUGGCUCAGGACAAACGCUGGCGGCGUGCGUAACACAUGCAAGUCGAACGGGGGCUGCGCUUUCGGGCGCAGUUCGAGUGGCGGACGGGUGCGUAACACGUGGAUAACCUGCCCAGAGGUGGGGGAUACCCGGUAGAAAUACCGGUUAAGACCGCAUAUGGUGGCCUGCGCGUGCGGCGUGGGUCAAGAAAGACCAGUUGCAAAAUUGGUUGCCUUUGGAGGGGUCUGCGGGCGAUUAGCUAGUUGGUGGGGUAAGGGCUCACCAAGGCGACGAUCGCUAGCUGGUCUGAGAGGAUGAUCAGCCACACUGGGAUUGAGAACGGCCCAGACUCCUACGGGGGGCAGCAGUGAGGAAUCUUCGUCAAUGGGCGCAAGCCUGAACGAGCAACGCCGCGUGUGGGAUGACGGCCUUCGGGUUGUAAACCACUUUUCUUGGGAACGAGAUACGGACGGUACCCGAGGAAGAAGUCUCGGCUAACUACGUGCCAGCAGCCGCGGUAAUACGUAGGAGACGAGCGUUGUCCGGAGUUACUGGGCGUAAAGGGGGCGCAGGCGGCACGUCGCGUGGGGGGUGAAAUCUCCUGGCUCAACUGGGAGGGGGCCUUCCAAACGGGCGUGCUUGAGGCGUGGAGAGGGACGUGGAAUUCCGGGUGGAGCGGUGAAAUGCGUAGAGAUCCGGAGGAACACCGACGGCGAAGGCAGCGUCCUGGCCACGACCUGACGCUCAGGCCCGAAAGCUGGGGGAGCAAACAGGAUUAGAUACCCUGGUAGUCCCAGCUGUAAACGAUGUCCACCAGGUGCCGGGGGUAUCGACCCCCUCGGUGCCGCAGCUAACGUGAUGAGUGGACCGCCUGGGGAGUACGGCCGCAAGGUUAAAACUCAAAGGAAUU